CUAGGGGUGGGGGUUGAGGUCCAGGUCCCACCUCCCCAGGCGCCUCUUUUGUUUUAAGGCAGCGUCUGCUGAAGCUGUAGGGCAUUGGUACUUGAGUUCCCAGCGUGGGCUGGCGGGUCCGUUUCUGGGCGCGCUUCCCAAGUGGAGCAAGCUGGGGAGGGAUGCGUCGGGGCUGGUCCCGGAGUUAAACACAGUGGGAACAUUACUUUUGAUGAGAUUGCCAACAUUGCCCGGCAGAUGAGACACCGGUCUUUGGCUAGAGAACUUUCUGAAACUAUCAAGGAGAUCCUGGGUACUGCACAGUCUGUGGGCUGCAAUGUGGAUGGCCGCCACCCUCAUGACAUCAUAGAUGACAUCAACAGUGGUGCAGUGGAGUGCCCAGCUAGUUAAGAAGCAACAAGAAAA